UAGGGAAUAUUAGUAAUGGGCGAAAGCCUGAACUAGCAACGCCGCGUGUGCGAAGAAGGCCUUCGGGUUGUAAAGCACUUUUUGAGAGGAUGAGGAAGGACGGUACUCUCAGAAUAAGUCUCGGCUAACUACGCGCCAGCAGCCGCGGUAACACGUAGGAGGCGAACGUUAUCCGGAUUUACUGGGCGUAAAGCGCGUGUAGGUGGUUUGGUAAGUAGGGCGUGAAAGCUCCUGGCUCAACUGGGAGAGGCCGUUCUAAACUGCCGAACUAGAGGAUGGUAGAGGGAGGUGGAAUUCCGGGUGUAGCGGUGGAAUGCGCAGAUAUCCGGAGGAACACCAGUGGCGAAGGCGGCCUCCUGGACCACUCCUGACACUCAGACGCGAAAGCUAGGGUAGCAAACGG
rnacentral:rRNA from 1 species